UACGGGGGGGGCAAGCGUUGUUCGGAAUUACUGGGCGUAAAGGGCUCGUAGGUGGCCAACUAAGUCAGACGUGAAAUCCCUCGGCUUAACCGGGGAACUGCGUCUGAUACUGGAUGGCUUGAGUUUGGGAGAGGGAUGCGGAAUUCCAGGUGUAGCGGUGAAAUGCGUAGAUAUCCGGAGGAACACCGGUGGCGAAGGCGGGUCUCUGGGCCGAUACUGACGCUGAGGAGCGAAAGCGUGGGGAGCGAACAGG
rnacentral:rRNA from 1 species